ACUCCUACGGGAGGCAGCAGUGGGGAAUAUUGCACAAUGGGCGCAAGCCUGAUGCAGCCAUGCCGCGUGUGUGAAGAAGGCCUUCGGGUUGUAAAGCACUUUCAGUCGUGAGGAAGGUAGUGUAGUUAAUAGCUGCAUUUAUUUGACGUUAGCGACAGAAAGAAAGCAACCGGCUAACUCCGUGCCAGCAGCCGCGGUAAUACGGAGGGUGC
rnacentral:rRNA from 1 species